GUAGAUGUAACCGAUUGAUUUGUGAUGGAAAUUGCUCUUUAAAAUGGCUUUAAACAAUUGUCUGCUUGUUUACCAUUCUUAAACAAUUGUCAUUAACUCUUAGGCUGAAGGGUAAUUGUGCUCCUGUGUAUGGUCAAAUGAAUGAACCACCUGGUUCUGAUGCUCUGGUUGGAUUUACUAAGCUAGCAGUAGCUGAGCACUUCCGAGAUGCUGAGGGGCAAGAUGUCCUUUUAUUAGUUGACAACGAUAAGCUGCUCAAUCUGGACAUCAAANUAUUAUUUUUCGUAUAUUUGAUUAACAAUAAGUCCAGAAAUGGAUAUUAUGAUUACAUGUAGAAAUAGCAGAAUCCUUACUUUUUGCUCAGGUGGGCACCUGAGGUAAAGCCUAUUAAUUUGAAAUAAUUUAAUAGCUAAAACUUGUUCUAGUUUUCAUGUGGAUUUUCAUGUGGACAUGCGUAUGUGUUUUCUCAGGAUUUACUUGUACUUGCCUAGAUUCUGAAUUAGCGGGAUGAAAAAAAUUAUUGCAUCUGCUUGCUUUGGAAAGAGUCUAGUUUAUCAAGUACAGUUGUGUUGGCGAGUACUCGAGAGAGCAAUGAUUUGUACAAGGAAAAGAUGUAGAAUGGUGUUAUAAAGCUCCGUGAUCAGCAGGUUUGUAAGUUGUAGAUGUAACCGAUUGAUUUGUGAUGGAAAUUGCUCUUUAAAAUGGCUUUAAACAAUUGUCUGCUUGUUUACCAUUCUUAAACAAUUGUCAUUAACUCUUAGGCUGAAGGGUAAUUGUGCUCCUGUGUAUGGUCAAAUGAAUGAACCACCUGGUUCUGAUGCUCUGGUUGGAUUUACUAAGCUAGCAGUAGCUGAGCACUUCCGAGAUGCUGAGGGGCAAGAUGUCCUUUUAUUAGUUGACAACGAUAAGCUGCUCAAUCUGGACAUCAAAUACAAGCUCAAUCUGGGCAGCAUCUUUUUGAAUAUCCACAUUUUGAAUAUGU
rnacentral:lncRNA from 1 species